rnacentral:snoRNA from 1 species
AGAUGAUGAUAAACUGUCACUGAAUAUUGCGACUCAAUCUAUUUUGGAGAGAGUUGCGAUUCUUAAAGGAUGUUCGCUGUUGCGAGGCAUUUGCCUGAU